rnacentral:rRNA from 1 species
CUUUAACAAGCAUGUGCACGCUCCCCGAAGAACUCUCCACGUCUUUCAUCUUCUCACCUGUGCACGGCGGGGUGGGGGGGCAUGGGUUUGGUAAAACGAAGUCAUGCCAGUGCCUUUCCCUGGGGGGGGGAGGUCGAGUACCUAUGUAUUAAAAAUACAUCUUCGUGUAGAAAGGCUUUGAAUGUUUACGAUCAUAGAGCCGCGACUUCUAGGAGACGCGGGGCUUUGAGAUAAAAGUUAUUACAACUUUCACCAAUGGAUCUCUUGGCUCUCGCAUCGAUGAAGGACGCACCGGGAAGCGAUAUGUAAUGUGAAUUGCAGAUCUACAGUGAAUCAUCGAAUCUUUGAACGCACCUUGCGCUCCUUGGUAUUCCGAGGAGCAUGCCUGUUUGAGUGUCACUUAAUUCAUCAACCCCUCUCUAUUAUCUUCGAGGGGGAGCUUGUGUAGUGGGGGUUGCCGGAGACUUGGGACUAGUUCCAGGACUCGGGCUCUCCUGAAAUGCAUCGGGUUGCGGUCGACUUUCUACUGUGCGCGAAAAGGCUUUCGGCGUGGAUAAUGAGCGCCGUGUGCUGAAUGCAUGAAUGAUGGUUCCGUGCCUCUAAUACACAUCCCCUUUUACUAUGUCUUUGAAAUUUUGACAUUUUGACCUCAAAUCACGUAGGACUACCCGCUGAACUUAACAUAUCA